ACUUUACCAUGCGGGCAACCGUGAUAAGGAAACCCCGAGUGCCAGCACAGGCUGGCUGUCCGCCAGUUUAAAUAACUGGUGAGGAAAGGGCCGGGCAAGACCGGUGCCAGCCGCCGCGGUAAUACCGGCGGCUCGAGUGGUGGCCGCUAUUACUGGGCUUAAAGGGUCCGUAGCUUGAUAACUGGGUCCCUUGAGAAAUCCGCCAGCUCAACUGGCGGGCGUUCAGGGGAAACUUGUUUUCUUGGGACCGGGAGAGGUGAGGGGUACUGCCGGGGUAGGAGUGAAAUCCUGUAAUCCCGGUGGGACCACCUAUGGCGAAGGCAUCUCACCAGAACGGGUCCGACAGUGAGGGACGAAAGCUGGGGGAGCAAACCGG
rnacentral:rRNA from 1 species